UAGGGAAUCUUCGGCAAUGGACGAAAGUCUGACCGAGCAACGCCGCGUGAGUGAAGAAGGUUUUCGGAUCGUAAAACUCUGUUGUUAGAGAAGAACAAGGACGUUAGUAACUGAACGUCCCCUGACGGUAUCUAACCAGAAAGCCAUGGCUAACUACGUGCCAGCAGCCGCGGUAAUACGUAGGUGGCAAGCGUUGUCCGGAUUUAUUGGGCGUAAAGCGAGCGCAGGCGGUUUCUUAAGUCUGAUGUGAAAGCCCCCGGCUCAACCGGGGAGGGUCAUUGGAAACUGGGAGACUUGAGUGCAGAAGAGGAGAGUGGAAUUCCAUGUGUAGCGGUGAAAUGCGUAGAUAUAUGGAGGAACACCAGUGGCGAAGGCGACUCUCUGGACUGUAACUGACGCUGAGGCUCGAAAGCGUGGGGAGCAAACAGG
rnacentral:rRNA from 1 species